CCACAACUGUGAUGUCUGGUGUGUUGUGUUCCAGAACUUUGUCAGUCUGGAUUCGGAAGUCCCACAGUAUCUUUGCGUGCUCAUUUUCCAAUACUUUUGCAGCUGAGGAUAUGAUCCAUGGUUUCAUCGGUUUCCUUGCACAGUCUGCAUUUUGGGUCAUCAGCUGAUUUUUCGAUCUUGGCCUGAAUUGCCUUUGUUCUGAUGUCUUGCUCCUGGGCUGCAAGGAUCAGGCCUUCUGUCUCCUUCUUCAGGGUCCCAUUCGUGAGCCAGAGCCAGGUAUUAUUAUUAUUAUUAUUAUUAUUAUUAUUAUUAUUAUUAUUAUUGUAAUUAUCC
rnacentral:lncRNA from 11 species